GAUGAACGCUGGCGGCGUGCCUAAUACAUGCAAGUCGAGCGAACGGAUAAGGAGCUUGCUCCUUUGAAGUUAGCGGCGGACGGGUGAGUAACACGUGGGUAACCUACCUUUAAGACUGGAAUAACUUCGGGAAACCGGAGCUAAUGCCGGAUAACAUUUGGAACUGCAUGGUUCUAAUGUAAAAGAUGGUUUUGAUAUCACUUAUCGAUGGACCCGCGCCGUAUUAGCUAGCUGGUAAGGUAACGGCUUACCAAGGCAACGAUACGUAGCCGACCUGAGAGGGUGAUCGGCCACACUGGAACGGAGACACGGUCCAGACUCCUACGGGAGGCAGCAGUAGGGAAUCUUCCGCAAUGGACUAAAGUCUGACGGAGCAACGCCGCGUGAGUGAUGAAGGUUUUCGGAUCGUAAAACUCUGUUAUUAGGGAAGAACAAAUGUGUAAGUAACUGUGCACAUCUUGACGGUACCUAAUCAGAAAGCCACGGCUAACUACGUGCCAGCAGCCGCCGUAA
rnacentral:rRNA from 1 species